rnacentral:rRNA from 1 species
GGAAGGAUCAUUGUUGAU